CAGAUGAUUUGAUUUAUUGCUGUUGGAUCAAAGCAGCAAAAUAAGUGUUUUUACUUUUUUAGUGUUGGCAGCAGUCUGCUGGCUUACAUAUGCAGGUAAGGUGUGUGUGCGUGUGCGUGUUCUCUUCUCUGAAGCCUAUAUCCCCUAUUUCCACAGAGAGCGUCAUCACUUGUGAAGGCCGGAUGCAGCGACUGAGUUGUGGUUGCCGGUUGGUAUGGUAACUAUGAAGCAAAAGGAGGGGAAUUGUAUUGGACACGCGCGUUGGACCCAGGGCUGACCUAUCUUCUAGCCACAGGGCUACCAACGGGGUUGCCAUGGGUUUCUGCCUCCCGCUCCGUGUUUUUAUCAAGUAGGCGUGGCCUAUGUGACGCAUUGGCUCCGCCCUCCUCACCUGUCUAAAGGUGCUGCCAUCUGUGGCUGGAGUAGUUAUUGCAGUUUGUAUGUUGUGUCCUGCCUCCUUGUGGCUGUGUGUGGUAAUUGCAGCUUAUGUGUUCGAUCCUGCCUCCUUGUGGCUAUGUGGGGGUAAUGCAGCUUAUGUGCUUAAUUUACAUAACAUGGUAAGAAAACCUGUUAUUAGCAGAGGUGGGGGUAAGUCAGUCAUGUGCAAGUCACAAGCAAGUCUCAAGUCAUAACCUUCAAGUCUCAAGCAAGUCCCAAGUCACUAUGGUGAGAAUCAAGCAAGUCACAAGUCAAUUCAUUGCUCAGGUCAAGCAAGUCACAAGUCAAGUCAUACAAAAAUCUGAUCAUCUAACCCAGUUUCCACAUUUAAAAAUCGGUAACCAUCCGACUAAAAUAUCCAGCUCCAGACGGCCAGUAGUGCGGGCACCGAGAAGCUGACGACGCUCAGGGGGAACUAUAAGUUUCAUUGUUUACAUAUAUUUAUUCGUUUAUAUUUCUCGAAAUAAAUGGUUCAAAUUCACGUUGUUGUAGUCCGUAGUAGUGUUGUUCCAAGUGUAUAUUCGAGAAAUAAUAUUAUUGGACGACCAACAUUUAACAAGUGGAGCUACUAAGCUACUGUUGCCAGCUUAGAUGAAGCCAAUAGCAG
ensembl:lncRNA